rnacentral:rRNA from 1 species
UACGGGGGGGGCAAGCGUUGUUCGGAAUUACUGGGCGUAAAGGGCGCGUAGGCGGUUGGAUAAGUCAGCUGUGAAAACCACGGGCUUAACUCGUGGCCUGCAGUUGAGACUGUCUGGCUUGAGUGUGGGAGAGGAGAGUGGAAUUCCUGGUGUAGCGGUGAAAUGCGUAGAUAUCGGAAGGAACAUCAGUGGCGAAAGCGACUUCCUGGACCAAUACUGACGCUCAUGUGCGAAAGCGUGGGGAGCAAACAGG